GUAUAGUCUCGUUUCUCUCUUAAAAGGUGUAGCAUUAUCUCAGAAGCUAAGCAGGGUUGGGCCUGGUUAGUACUUGGAUGGGAGACCACCUAGGAAGACCAGGUGCUGUAGAUG
rnacentral:rRNA from 1 species